rnacentral:rRNA from 1 species
GACGAACGCUGGCGGCGUGCUUAACACAUGCAAGUCGAACGGAAAGGCCCUGCUUUUGUUGGGGGCUCGAGUGGCGAACGGGUGGGUAACACGUGAGUAACCUGCCCUUGACUUUUGGAUAACUUCAGGAAACUGGGGCUAAUACCGGAUAGGAGCUCCUGCUGCAUGGUGGGGGUUGGAAAGUUUCGGCGGUUGGGUAUGGACUCGCGGCGUAUCAGCUUGUUGGUGGGGUAGUGGCUUACCAAGGCUUUGACGGGUAGCCGGCCUGAGAGGGUGACCGGCAACAUUGGGACUGAGAUACGGCGCAGACGCCUACGGGAGGCAGCAGUGGGGAAAAUUGCAAAAUGGGCGGAAGCCUGAUGCGGCAACGGCGCGUGCGGGAUGACGGCCUUCGGGUUGUAAACCGCUUUCGCCUGUGACGAAGCGUGAGUGACGGUAAUGGGUAAAGAAGCACCGGCUAACUACGUG